GGCAGAUGUCGCCCCACGCCCAGGAUAGCCGGCCUUGCUCAGUGGCCGCCAGGUGGCGCCUGCGCCCUCCAUUCGCUUGCGAGCCGCCGAGCAGCGAACACCCCAAACAAUCCCCAGCGCCGCCGCCAAAUUAAAUAACCUGCCCGCUCCUAGCGCCGUUUCUAAACCCCUCCACCGCGGAGCUUCCGAGCCGGGCGCACGCACCCCGCAACCGGGCCGGGGGGGCAGGGACGGAGCCGCGGGUCCGGGCCUCCGAGCUGCCUGCGCCGACACUGGGCAAGGAAUUGUCUUUUGUGAAAGGAAGAAAACGUGCUUGCCCACCGUAAACUGUUUUUGAACAUAUUUCCAGUACAGUGGUGGUCCAGAAGAUGAUAAAGAAAUGAUAGCAGCUCCAGAAAUACCAACUGAUUUUACUCUCCUUCAGUAAGUAACAGUGCUUAAUGCAGCCAUAAGAAGGUUAUUCUGUCAAGUAGUUAGUGAUUUAAAUCUAAAGCAUUGCUUGAAUGGUGUCCUGUGUUUCCAGGGGAGUUAAAAUAGCAAUCGUAUAACUGGUUUAACUUUAUUUUUUACUAUAGAUUUUUAGAAUCUUUAAUGAGCGUUUUGCUAGUAGGAGAAGCUAUUGUCAUGGUCACAGAAUAGUUUCCAUUAUAAAAACAUUUUUCUGAUGCUUAUAACUUUCUGAAAAACUUUUCUUUUGGAUUAGAAAUUUUCUGGACAGAAAUAUGAGUAAUGUCAAGUCGACGUCUUUCUGUUUUUGGAGACAGAUGUUGAUUGAGGUCUUUUUUGAAGGGCUAGGGUUGCUUAAUCCUUAACCGAGAGUUGCUUUUUUGCCAAAUGUUUGUUCGUUAUAUAUAUGUAUAUGUGUGUGUUUUUGAUAAACUUGAAAUGAUAUCACUUCUCAGAUACCUGUGAUAUCUUCCUACUGGUUUUCCAGUCAUCCAUAAUCUUCCAGGGUAGACAAAAUCUGGGUUCCUAAUGUGGGUUGUUUUUGUUUUUUAAAUAGUGGAGGAAAAGCAAAAUGUAUCUCAUAGGUACAGACAGAAACCUUUUAGGCCUUCUUUAUACAUAAUCAAUUUUUUCCUUUGUAAUUCACUUUUAAGAAAUUCUAAAAACCCUUCUUUGAGUCAUGACUUCAGCUGAAAAGUACCUAAAAUUUGAUCUCUACUUGUAAUUAUUAAUGAAGAGUACCAACUUUCUUCGGGUUGGUUGGGAACAUUAAAAAAGGACUG
rnacentral:lncRNA from 1 species